AACUGAGAUACCUUACACAGUUGGACUGAAGUAACCACAGUUAGGAGAAAAGGAACUUCUUGACAGUCUGAAUAUUGACAAAGCCCAAGAACACAUCCAAAGGAACUCAGAUAGGA
rnacentral:lncRNA from 1 species